ensembl:lncRNA
GUGGAUUUAAGAAAAAAAGGCAAUUGUUAUAUAUUUUUUCUCUCUGAAUGGUGGUCCCAGACCCCAGUUUGCUAUGGUAAAUUCUCAAAUAUACUGAAUGUCAUUUGAAUGAUACUGAAUAUAAUAUUUUGGAAAUAUAAGUGUGAUAUUUGUGCUCCCUCUCAGCUGGCUCUACCAGGCUCUGGGCAUUUGUCUAGGCUGGGAUCUCUUGUGAGUGGAGUAAAGGUGGAGACUCUAUGGGCUUUACCAACUGAUGUUCUGCUAGAAGCUUUACCUGCUCUGAGCCUUCAGACACCUGGGCUCACCCCCCCACAGGUCAACACUAUCAUCUCCAAACUCUGGGCUUCUAGUUCUGUGUCCCAGUGGAUGGAUAAAGUCAAACCUUUGCUCUCUAGCACUCCACUCCUGAGUGUGAUUGCCCAAGUCCCUCUGCUGCUGAUCAAAGACACUGCUGUACACACUCGCCUCUGGAACACACAGCAGGCGAAAGCUCUCUUUAAAGAGGCUGUCGUCUCUCAUCCAAGUCUCUCGCUACAAGAAUUUCUGUAA